rnacentral:lncRNA from 1 species
UAACAAAAAGUUCCCAAUUUCGCUCCUUUGAAGUUCAAUUAUCACGUGAGCGCCCAACAAUUCUUGCAACAUGAAAUCAGUAUAGAAAUGGGUUAAUUUGAUAUUAGAGAAAGAGGAAAACACGGCAAGUGUAAGCAAGAGUAGUUCACCUGUUCCCAAUUUUCCUCCUUUGAAGUACAAACACCAUGUGAGUGACCAGCAAUCCCUGCAACAUGAAAUCAAGUGUCUGCAGGAGUAACAGUUGACCUACUGGCUUGAAGAAGGAACUCACAAAACCCAUCUCCCAAAUCAUGUAAAAAUUCAAACUUUUUGGUUAGAAUAGACGUUUCGAAUUGGGUUUGGUAGAAUAGGUGCUUGGAAUUGGAUUUGCUCAGAAUAGGCGCACCAAAUUUUUGCUCAGAAUAGCUGUCUGGUAGAGAGAAAGGAAGAAAAGGCUUCAACGGCA